GGGAGCUUGUGAAAACAUGCGGAACUGUUGGAGGCUCUCUUUUUUUUCCUUUUCUCCCUAAUCGCAUGGGCGGAGCCAGCUGGAUUUACCUAGGAAUUUUGCCAAAACUUCAAGUAUCUAUAAGCCAUAUACAUCUAUAUACUUGUUAGGUAAGCUUAUUUCUUCUUCUCUCAAGCAAAUCUGAGUACAAUUUUGUUCUUAGGCCCAAUCUUCUUCUCUAGUUCCUCUCAGUCUACCCUCCUAAUCAACCAUCUUCACUUCCUAGCGCGUGACUGCGCAGCAUCAAGUAGGUGGGAAGAUGGACGCGAGCCACGGAGGGUGGCGCAUAGUUAAACUGCUUGGUUGUAUCAGUUCGAUGCAGUCAUGCAGGUAACUUGAAGUUAGUGCUAAUCUACUGAAAAUAGAAUAUUGUAAUGUGUAUGUAGAAGCUUCGCCUGCACUUGCUGGGUAGAACGAUACGAGGUUAUCAUAGGUGUGAAAAUUUAUUUCCCUGACACGCUACUGUUGCAGUGAUAGAACUGAAGCAACAUGCUCAUUGAUAGCUUCAGCAAUUAAAGAACCUUGUGCAUCUCCCGGAGCCCGCAUUGUUGAUUUGGAUGUGUUGUUUGUUUUGCAAAGCUUGAUGUCAAAUGAGAGAGCACCCCAGUUGUACGUCUUCAGACCCAGCAUAGGGUGAUAGCUAGGGAACGACAGGACGAUCCCGCUGAGGACAACACCAAACGCUUAAAGCUCUGAAGCAAUGCCAUUUUCUUUAAAAACUUCUGUAGCUUUUCAGUUGUUGAUAUAUCUGUAGUUUGAAC
rnacentral:lncRNA from 1 species